rnacentral:tRNA from 1 species
ACCGAGUUAGUUUAUUGGAAAAUAUUAGGGUGUGGGCUUAAAGACGGGCUCAGUAUUAGCCCCCUCGGUA